rnacentral:ribozyme from 1 species
UCUGGGGGAAGGAAGAAGCGAGGGAAUGCGAGGGUAGAAACAAAAACAAGCGAAAGAGAGGACACAACCGCUGUCGAGAUCGAGGUGCAGAAAGGGUUGAAUACAAAGAGAGAAAGGGAAAGUUAUGGGGGUGAAUAUUCUGAGUUCAA